rnacentral:rRNA from 1 species
UUAGAGUUUGAUCAUGGCUCAGAUUGAACGCUGGCGGCAGGCCUAACACAUGCAAGUCGAGCGGUAGCACAGAGAGCUUGCUCUCGGGUGACGAGCGGCGGACGGGUGAGUAAUGUCUGGGAAACUGCCUGAUGGAGGGGGAUAACUACUGGAAACGGUAGCUAAUACCGCAUAACGUCGCAAGACCAAAGUGGGGGACCUUCGGGCCUCAUGCCAUCAGAUGUGCCCAGAUGGGAUUAGCUGGUAGGUGGGGUAACGGCUCACCUAGGCGACGAUCCCUAGCUGGUCUGAGAGGAUGACCAGCCACACUGGAACUGAGACACGGUCCAGACUCCUACGGGAGGCAACAGUGGGGAAUAUUGCACAAUGGGCGCAAGCCUGAUGCAGCCAUGCCGCGUGUGUGAAGAAGGCCUUCGGGUUGUAAAGCACUUUCAGCGGGGAGGAAGGCGGUGAGGUUAAUAACCUCACCGAUUGACGUUACCCGCAGAAGAAGCACCGGCUAACUCCGUGCCAGCAGCCGCGGUAAUACGGAGGGUGCAAGCGUUAAUCGGAAUUACUGGGCGUAAAGCGCACGCAGGCGGUCUGUCAAGUCGGAUGUGAAAUCCCCGGGCUCAACCUGGGAACUGCAUUCGAAACUGGCAGGCUAGAGUCUUGUAGAGGGGGGUAGAAUUCCAGGUGUAGCGGUGAAAUGCGUAGAGAUCUGGAGGAAUACCGGUGGCGAAGGCGGCCCCCUGGACAAAGACUGACGCUCAGGUGCGAAAGCGUGGGGAGCAAACAGGAUUAGAUACCCUGGUAGUCCACGCUGUAAACGAUGUCGAUUUGGAGGUUGUGCCCUUGAGGCGUGGCUUCCGGAGCUAACGCGUUAAAUCGACCGCCUGGGGAGUACGGCCGCAAGGUUAAAACUCAAAUGAAUUGACGGGGGCCCGCACAAGCGGUGGAGCAUGUGGUUUAAUUCGAUGCAACGCGAAGAACCUUACCUGGUCUUGACAUCCACAGAACUUUCCAGAGAUGGAUUGGUGCCUUCGGGAACUGUGAGACAGGUGCUGCAUGGCUGUCGUCAGCUCGUGUUGUGAAAUGUUGGGUUAAGUCCCGCAACGAGCGCAACCCUUAUCCUUUGUUGCCAGCGGUUAGGCCGGGAACUCAAAGGAGACUGCCAGUGAUAAACUGGAGGAAGGUGGGGAUGACGUCAAGUCAUCAUGGCCCUUACGACCAGGGCUACACACGUGCUACAAUGGCAUAUACAAAGAGAAGCGACCUCGCGAGAGCAAGCGGACCUCAUAAAGUAUGUCGUAGUCCGGAUUGGAGUCUGCAACUCGACUCCAUGAAGUCGGAAUCGCUAGUAAUCGUAGAUCAGAAUGCUACGGUGAAUACGUUCCCGGGCCUUGUACACACCGCCCGUCACACCAUGGGAGUGGGUUGCAAAAGAAGUAGGUAGCUUAACCUUCGGGAGGGCGCUUACCACUUUGUGAUUCAUGACUGGGGUGAAGUCGUAACAAGGUAACCGUA